rnacentral:rRNA from 1 species
CCCUUAGAUGUUCUGGGCCGCACGCGCGCUACACUGACUGGUGCAACAAGUGUCUGACCUUGGCUCGAGAGGCCUGGGCAACCUUUGAACGCCAGUCGUGCUGGGGAUAGAUUCUUGCAAUUAUUAAUCUUCAACGAGGAAUUCCUAGUAAACGCAAGUCAUCAGCUUGCAUUGAUUACGUCCCUGCCCUUUGUACACACCGCCCGUCGCACCUACCGAUUGAAUGGUCCGGUGAAGCGUUCGGACCGUGGCCUUUGGACGGUUCGCCGUCUGUUGGCUGCGGGAAGUUCGUUAAACCUUAUCAUUUAGAGGAAGGAGAAGUCGUAACA